rnacentral:rRNA from 1 species
UGAAUACGAGACGCUACGGCGUCGAAGCAGUCGAUGUCAUACUUCCAAGAAAAGCUUGCAAUGUCAUAAACAAAUAAUGCCUGUCCCAUAACCGACACAGGUGGGUAGGUAGAGUAUACUAAGGGGCGCGAGAUAACUCUCUCUAAGGAACUCGGCAAAAUGACUCCGUAACUUCGGGAGAAGGAGUGCCUUAUUUAUAAGGUUGCAAUAACAAGAUCCAAGCAACUGUUUAUCAAAAACACAGGUCUCCGCUAAGUCGUAAGACGAUGUAUGGGGGCUGACGCCUGCCCAGUGCCAGAAGGUUAAAGAAGUUGGUUAGCAUCCGCGAAGCUGAUAACUGAAGCCCUGGUGAACGGCGGCCGUAACAAUAACGGUCCUAAGGUAGCGAAAUUCCUUGUCGGGUAAGUUCCGACCCGCACGAAAGGCGUAAUGAUUUGGAUACUGUCUCGGAGAGGGACUCGGUGAAAUAGACUUGUCUGUGAAGAUGCGGACUACCUGCACCUGGACAGAAAGACCCUAUGAAGCUUUACUGUAACUUGAAAUUGAAAUUGGACUUUAUUUACGCAGUAUAGGUGGGAGGCGUUGAGAAUAUUCUUGCGGGAAUAUUGGAGUCAUCAGUGAGAUACCACUCUUGUAAUGUUAGAUUUCUAACUUUGCAUCAUUAUCUGGUCAAAGAACAGUUUCAGGCGGGCAGUUUGACUGGGGCGGUCGCCUCCCAAACGGUAACGGAGGCGUACAAAGGUUUCCUCUGAACGGGUAGAAAUCGUAUCUAGAGUGUAAAGGCAUAAGGAAGCUUGACUGUGAGACCUACAAGUCGAGCAGGGACGAAAGUCGGUCUUAGUGAUCUGACGGUGCUGAGUGGAAAGGCCGUCACUCAACGGAUAAAAGUUACUCUAGGAUAGCAGGCUGAUCUCCCCCAAGAGUUCACAUCGACGGGGAGGUUUGGCACCUCGAUGUCGGCUCAUCGCAUCCUGGGGCGGUAGUACGUCCCAAGGGUUGGGCUGUUCGCCCAUGAAAGCGGUACGCGAGCUGGGUUCAGAACGUCGUGAGACGGUUCGGUCCAUAUCCGGUGUAGGCGUUAGAAUAUUGAGAGGAGCCUUCUUUAGUACGAGAGGACCGAGAAGGACAUACCUCUGGUGUACCAGUUAUCGUGCCAACGGUAAACGCUGGGUAGCUAUGUAUGGAGAGGAUAACCGCUGAAAGCAUCUAAGUGGGAAGCCCACCUCAAGAUAAG